AACAAACGCUGGCGGCGUGCCUAAUACAUGCAAGUCGAACGGGGAAAGUAGCAAUACGAGUACUAGUGGCGCACGGGUGAGGAAUACAUGGGUAAUCUGCCCUCGAGCUCGGGAUAACCAGUCGAAAGACUGGCUAAUACCGGAUAUGACCACAAGAUCUGAGGAUCAAGGGGUAAAAGGUUUUUUCGCUUGAGGAUGAGCCCAUGUGGGAUUAGCUAGUUGGUGUAGGUAACGGCUCACCAAGGCGACGAUCCCUAACUGGUCUUAGAGGAUGAUCAGUCACACUGGAACUGAGACACGGUCCAGACUCCUACGGGAGGCAGCAGUAGGGAAUAUUGCACAAUGGAGGAAACUCUGAUGCAGCGACGCCGCGUGAGUGAUGAAGGCCUUCGGGUCGUAAAGGCUCUGUCGUA
rnacentral:rRNA from 1 species